UACGGAGGGUGCGAGCGUUGUUCGGAGUUACUGGGCGUAAAGGGUGUGUAGGCGGUUCUCUAAGUUUGGUGUGAAAUCUCCCGGCUCAACCGGGAGGGUGCGCCGAAAACUGGAGGGCUAGAGUGCGGGAAGGGAGAGUAGAAUUCCUGGUGUAGCGGUGAAAUGCGUUGAUAUCAUGAGGAACACUCAAGGCGAAGGCAAGCAAUUGGCACAUUUCUGACGCUCAG
rnacentral:rRNA from 1 species